AGUCCCUCCGCCACGUGGGAAGCGCGGUCCUGGGCGUCUGUGCCCGCGAAUCCACUGGGAGCCCGGCCUGGCCCCGACAGCGCAGCUGCUCCGGGCGGACCCGGGGGUCUGGGCCGCGCUUCCCCGCCCGCGCGCCGCUCGCGCUCCCAGGGUGCAGGGACGCCAGCGAGGGCCCCAGCGGAGAGAGGUCGAAUCGGCCUAGGCUGUGGGGUAACCCGAGGGAGGGGCCAUGAUGUGGAGGCCCUGGGAACAGGUGCGUGCGGCGACCCUUUGGCCGCUGGCCUGAUCCGGAGACCCAGGGCUGCCUCCAGGUCCGGACGCGGGGCGUCGGGCUCCGGGCACCACGAAUGCCGGACGUGAAGGGGAGGACGGAGGCGCGUAGACGCGGCUGGGGACGAACCCGAGGACGCAUUGCUCCCUGGACGGGCACGCGGGACCUCCCGGAGUGCCUCCCUGCAACACUUCCCCGCGACUUGGGCUCCUUGACACAGGCCCGUCAUUUCUCUUUGCAGGUUCUCAGGCGGCGAGGGGUCCCCACCAUGAGCAAACCACCCCAAAUCUGUUAAUCACCCACCGGGGCGGUCCCGUCGAGAAAGGGUGGGAAAUGGAGCCAGGCGCUCCUGCUGGCCGCGCACCGGGCGCCUCACACCAGCCACAACGGCCUUGACCCUGGGCCCCGGCACUCUGUCUGGCAGAUGAGGCCAACAUCUGGUCACAUCCCGCCCGCACAGGGUGGAGGGCAACCUCGGGGUCCAGGCACCUGGCUCCAAGCCUCGGACUGCAGAGCUAGGAGGCCCGACUUCCAGCCCAGCAGUAGAAGCCACACGGCCACUGGUCCCCUCCAGACCUGGGGCCCCGGCACAACCGCAGGACAGCUGAGGACUUCCCAGGAAUCCAGACUCCGGGUUGCUCAAGUUUGGAUCUAAGGGGCGAGAAACUUCUGGGUCUCCCGAGGCCUUGCAGGGAUGCUGUAGCUGAGGUCGGCAAACACUGAAAUGCUAACAAACGCAACCUUAAAUGUAACCUUUCCUACUUUCAGAAACUGCCGGAGGAAAUUGCUUUAUUUAUGGAGCUAGCAUUUGAACAGGCCUCGCACCCUCCCUGGGCUGUCACGCUCGCUGGAGGUUAGCCUCGUCUUGUAAAUACUUAGGAUUACAGGUCGCUCUUCUAGAAAUCCCCUUAGUGAUCCCUAAGCCUUUUUAAAGGGCUGUGUUUGUGAAUUGUCUCUGCCACUAGGGCAAAGGGGCGGUUUGGAAAAUUUGUUCCAACAAAAGUUAAGUUGUAGCUUACACUGGUUCUCUGCAGAGAAGCCAACAUAGAAAACACAAUUUUAAAAGAGGGAAGAGAAGAAAUGGAAGCAGAAGAUUAUGCUGGAGUAAUUAACACCAUGUGCAUGGCGAGGAAACGCCUCCCGGCAUUCAAUGAAGAUCGCUGAUACCCAGAAGACACCCCAGUAUUAUGGGUGCAGUUAGUGUGUCUUUGAAAAGCUGAUGAUGUCUUAGUCAUCACAGUGUAAAACAUCAAGAGUGUUCUAACAACAAUAAAAAAAUUCUAUCAUUGGCUUAAAACACCACAACACUUGAGUGGGGUGAGCUUCCUACCUCAGACCCAGAUGUUUC
rnacentral:lncRNA from 1 species